UCAUUAGGUGGCUGAAAGCAAGUACUGGUCUCUUAAACCAUAU
rnacentral:tRNA from 2 species